rnacentral:rRNA from 1 species
AGCGAACGCUGGCGGCAGGCUUAACACAUGCAAGUCGAACGGGCGUAGCAAUACGUCAGUGGCAGACGGGUGAGUAACGCGUGGGAACGUACCUUUUGGUUCGGAACAACCCAGGGAAACUUGGGCUAAUACCGGAUAAGCCCUUACGGGGAAGAUUUAUCGCCGAAAGAUCGGCCCGCGUCUGAUUAGCUAGUUGGUGAGGUAACGGCUCACCAAGGCGACGAUCAGUAGCUGGUCUGAGAGGAUGAUCAGCCACAUUGGGACUGAGACACGGCCCAAACUCCUACGGGAGGCAGCAGUGGGGAAUAUUGGACAAUGGGCGGCAAG